rnacentral:rRNA from 1 species
CCUACGGGGGACAGCAGUGGGGGAUAUUGCACAAUGGGGGAAACCCUGAUGCAGCGACGCCGUGUGGGCGAAGAAGUAUUUCGGUAUGUAAAGCCCUAUCAGUAGGGAAGAAGAAAUGACGGUACCUGAGUCAGAAGCACCGGCUAAAUACGUGCCAGCAGCCGCGGUAAUACGUAUGGUGCAAGCGUUAUCCGGAUUUACUGGGUGGAAAGGGAGCGCAGGCGGCACGGCAAGCCUGAUGUGAAAGCCCGCGGCCCAACCGCGGGACUGCAUUGGGAACUACCGGGCUGGAGUGCCGGAGAGGUAGGCGGAAUUCCUAGUGUAGCGGUGACAUGCGUAGAUAUUAGGAGGAACACCAGUGGCGAAGGCGGCCUACUGGACGGUGACUGACGCUGAGGCUCGAAAGCGUGGGGAGCAAACAGGAUUAGAUACCCGGGUAGUC